GACGAACGCUGGCGGCGUGCCUAAUACAUGCAAGUCGAACGCACUCUCGUUUAGAUUGAAGGAGCUUGCUCCUGAUUGAUAAACAUUUGAGUGAGUGGCGGACGGGUGAGUAACACGUGGGUAACCUGCCCUAAAGUGGGGGAUAACAUUUGGAAACAGAUGCUAAUACCGCAUAAAACCUAACACCGCAUGGUGUUGGGUUGAAAGAUGGUUUCGGCUAUCACUUUAGGAUGGACCCGCGGUGCAUUAGUUAGUUGGUGAGGUAAAGGCUCACCAAGACCGUGAUGCAUAGCCGACCUGAGAGGGUAAUCGGCCACACUGGGACUGAGACACGGCCCAGACUCCUACGGGAGGCAGCAGUAGGGAAUCUUCCACAAUGGACGAAAGUCUGAUGGAGCAACGCCGCGUGAGUGAAGAAGGUUUUCGGAUCGUAAAACUCUGUUGUUGGAGAAGAAUGUAUCUGAUAGUAACUGAUCAGGUAGUGACGGUAUCCAACCAGAAAG
rnacentral:rRNA from 1 species